rnacentral:rRNA from 1 species
AGCUCCAAUAGCGUAUAUUAAAGUUGUUGCGGUUAAAAAGCUCGUAGUUGGAUCUCGGCGGGCAGGGGGCGGUUCGUUAUUCGACGUUACUGCCCCAUUUGCCCGUGAUUUUGACGGAGGUUCCGCGGUGCUCUUAACCGAGUGUCGCGGGGCGCCGCCAGGUUUACUUUGAAAAAAUUAGAGUGCUCAAAGCAGGCUUUACACGCUUGAAUAUUCGUGCAUGGAAUAAUAGAAUAGGACGUCGUUUCUAUUUUGUUGGUUUUCGGAAAUCGACGUAAUGAUUAAUAGGGACAGUCGGGGGCAUUAGUAUUCAGACGACAGAGGUGAAAUUCUUGGACCGUCUGAAGACUAACUACUGCGAAAGCAUUUGCCAAGAAUGUUUUCAUUAAUCAAGAACGAA